CCUACGGGGGGCAGCAGUGAGGAAUAUUGGUCAAUGGACGAGAGUCUGAACCAGCCAAGUAGCGUGAAGGAUGACUGCCCUAUGGGUUGUAAACUUCUUUUAUAUGGGAAUAAAAUGUUCCACGUGUGGGAUUUUGUAUGUACCAUAUGAAUAAGGAUCGGCUAACUCCGUGCCAGCAGCCGCGGUAAUACGGAGGAUCCGAGCGUUAUCCGGAUUUAUUGGGUUUAAAGGGAGCGUAGGUGGAUUGUUAAGUCAGUUGUGAAAGUUUGCGGCUCAACCGUAAAAUUGCAGUUGAAACUGGCAGUCUUGAGUACAGUAGAGGUGGGCGGAAUUCGUGGUGUAGCGGUGAAAUGCUUAGAUAUCACGAAGAACUCCGAUUGCGAAGGCAGUUCACUGGACUGCAACUGACACUGAGGCUCGAAAGUGUGGGUAUCAAACAGGAUUAGAUACCCCAUAGC
rnacentral:rRNA from 1 species